UACGUAGGGUGCGAGCGUUAAUCGGAAUUACUGGGCGUAAAGCGUGCGCAGGCGGUUCUGAAAGUCAGCUGUGAAAGCCCCGGGCUUAACCUGGGAAUUGCGGUUGAAACUACAGGGCUAGAAUCUGGCAGAGGGGGGUGGAAUUCCACGUGUAGCAGUGAAAUGCGUAGAGAUGUGGAGGAACACCGAUGGCGAAGGCAGCCCCCUGGGCUGAGAUUGACGCUGAGGCUCGAAAGCGUGGGGAUCAAACAGG
rnacentral:rRNA from 1 species